ACAUGACAGUCGAACGGUGAAGCCCAGCUUGCUGGGUGGAUCAGUGGCGAACGGGUGAGUAACACGUGAGCAACCUGCCCUUCACUUCGGGAUAAGCCUUGGAAACGGGGUCUAAUACCGGAUAUGAGCGCUCAUCGCAUGGUGGGUGUUGGAAAGUUUUUCGGUGAGGGAUGGGCUCGCGGCCUAUCAGCUUGUUGGUGGGGUAACGGCCUACCAAGGCGUCGACGGGUAGCCGGCCUGAGAGGGCGACCGGCCACACUGGGACUGAGACACGGCCCAGACUCCUACGGGAGGCAGCAGUGGGGAAUAUUGCACAAUGGGCGAAAGCCUGAUGCAGCGACGCCGCGUGAGGGAUGACGGCCUUCGGGUUGUAAACCUCUUUCAGCAGGGAAGAAGCGCAAGUGACGGUACCUGCAGAAGAAGCGCCGGCUAACUACGUGCCAGCAGCCGCGGUAAUACGUAGGGCGCAAGCGUUGUCCGGAAUUAUUGGGCGUAAAGAGCUCGUAGGCGGUCUGUCGCGUCUGGUGUGAAAUCCCAUGGCUCAACUGUGGGCUUGCAUCGGGUACGGGCAGACUAGAGUGCUGUAGGGGAGACUGGAAUUCCUGGUGUAGCGGUGGAAUGCGCAGAUAUCAGGAGGAACACCGAUGGCGAAGGCAGGUCUCUGGGCAGUUACUGACGCUGAGGAGCGAAAGCAUGGGGAGCGAACAGGAUUAGAUACCCUGGUAGUCCAUGCCGUAAACGUUGGGCACUAGGUGUGGGGCCAGUUCCACUGGUUCUGUGCCGUAGCUAACGCAUUAAGUGCCCCGCCUGGGGAGUACGGCCGCAAGGCUAAAACUCAAAGGAAUUGACGGGGGCCCGCACAAGCGGCGGAGCAUGCGGAUUAAUUCGAUGCAACGCGAAGAACCUUACCAAGGCUUGACAUGUACGAGAAAGCCCCAGAGAUGGGGUUCUCUUUGGACACUCGUACACAGGUGGUGCAUGGUUGUCGUCAGCUCGUGUCGUGAGAUGUUGGGUUAAGUCCCGCAACGAGCGCAACCCUUGUCCCAUGUUGCCAGCGGGUUAUGCCGGGGACUCAUGGGAGACUGCCGGGGUCAACUCGGAGGAAGGUGGGGAUGACGUCAAAUCAUCAUGCCCCUUAUGUCUUGGGCUUCACGCAUGCUACAAUGGCCGGUACAGAGGGCUGCGAUACCGUGAGGUGGAGCGAAUCCCAAAAAGCCGGUCUCAGUUCGGAUCGGGGUCUGCAACUCGACCCCGUGAAGUCGGAGUCGCUAGUAAUCGCAGAUCAGCAACGCUGCGGUGAAUACGUUCCCGGGCCUUGUACACACCGCCCGUCAAGUCACGAAAGUUGGUAACACCCGAAGCUCACGGUCACCAUACA
rnacentral:rRNA from 1 species